rnacentral:snoRNA from 21 species
AAACCAGGUAUUGCCUGCCGGCGUAUCCUAGCUCCUCGGAGCGUUAGACGUCGGUAUACUUGUAUACCGGGGAGAAGAAGCGUCGUCUCCACCCUCGUGAGCUGCAUCCCACAGCGCUUGAGGACUAUAAUCACCGACCUACACUU